GACGAACGCUGGCGGCGUGCUUAACACAUGCAAGUCGAACGGAAAGGCCCUGCUUUUGUGGGGUGCUCGAGUGGCGAACAGGUGAGUAACACGUGAGUAACCUGCCCUUGACUUUGGGAUAACUUCAGGAAACUGGGGCUAAUACCGGAUAGGAGCUCCUGCUGCAUGGUGGGGGUUGGAAAGUUUCGGCGGUUGGGGAUGGACUCGCGGCUUAUCGGCUUGUUGGUGGGGUAGUGGCUUACCAAGGCUUUGACGGGUAGCCGGCCUGAGAGGGUGACCGGCCACAUUGGGACUGAGAUACGGCCCAGACUCCUACGGGAGGCAGCAGUGGGGAAUAUUGCACAAUGGGCGGAAGCCUGAUGCAGCAACGCCGCGUGCGGGAUGACGGCCUUCGGGUUGUAAACCGCUUUCGCCUGUGACGAAGCGUGAGUGACGGUAAUGGGUAAAGAAGCACCGGCUAACUACGUG
rnacentral:rRNA from 1 species